rnacentral:rRNA from 1 species
AAUAGAUACCCAGGUAGUCCACGCCGUAAACGAUGAGUGCUAAGUGUUAGAGGGUUUCCGCCCUUUAGUGCUGCAGCUAACGCAUUAAGCACUCCGCCUGGGGAGUACGGUCGCAAGACUGAAACUCAAAGGAAUUGACGGGGGCCCGCACAAGCGGUGGAGCAUGUGGUUUAAUUCGAAGCAACGCGAAGAACCUUACCAGGUCUUGACAUCCUCUGACAACUCUAGAGAUAGAGCGUUCCCCUUCGGGGGACAGAGUGACAGGUGGUGCAUGGUUGUCGUCAGCUCGUGUCGUGAGAUGUUGGGUUAAGUCCCGCAACGAGCGCAACCCUUGAUCUUAGUUGCCAGCAUUCAGUUGGGCACUCUAAGGUGACUGCCGGUGACAAACCGGAGGAAGGUGGGGAUGACGUCAAAUCAUCAUGCCCCUUAUGACCUGGGCUACACACGUGCUACAAUGGAUGGUACAAAGGGCUGCAAGACCGCGAGGUCAAGCCAAUCCCAUAAAACCAUUCUCAGUUCGGAUUGUA